AUUGAACGCUAGCGGCAGGCCUAACACAUGCAAGUCGAGCGGAGUGGCGAACGGGUGAGUAAUGCCUAGGACUCUGCCCGGUAGUGGGGGAUAACUACCGGAAACCGGCGCUAAUACCGCAUACUAUUAGAGCAGCCUAUAUCGGAUGAGCUAGUUGGUGGGGUAAAGGCCCACAAAGGCGACGAUCCGUAGCUGGUUUGAGCGGAUGAUCAGUAACAAGGGAACUUAGACACGGUCCAGACUCCUGCGGGAGGCAGCAGGGGGGAAUAUUGGACAAUGGGCGAAAGCCUGAUCCAGCCCUGCCGCGUGUGUGAUGAAGGCCUUCGGGUUGUAAAGCACUUUAGGCAUGAAAGCGUUACCCGCAUAAUAAGCAACGGCUAACUACGUGCCAGCAGCCGCGGUAAUUC
rnacentral:rRNA from 1 species